CUUGGGAUUUCUUUACAUGGCUGUCCCUGCAAUCUCUACUCAAACUCUCAACCUCAAGCUUCAUUUGGGACAAGGCUGCAGGCCCUGGCAACUUCUACCUUGACAGUAUCUAAGAGAAGGAAGAAAUAACACAAACUCACUUGACUAAAUGGAAACAUUUAUAAUAUAUCAUUUAUGAAGUUACGAAAUGGAAAGGUUUACAAUAUAUCAUUUAUGAAGUUACUUCACGAUUCACUUCAAAAUUCAUAAAAUAAGAAGGAAGAAAUAAACACAAUCUACAUCAAAAUAUACAUUCAUGCUCUCAGAAAAGAGACAAAUAUUAACUGGAGAAAAAUCAAUUAAAGAAUACACUUGAAAUCAAAAUAUUGAUCAAAACACUGAUUCUAGACAAACUUAGUUACACAGAUAAAUUUGAUCAUUUUUUAAAAUCAAAAUAUUACAGGAAAUUCAAUGGCAUAUCAUAUAGAGUACUCAAGGGAAAUACAUAAAACAGUUAACAGUUCAUAACCAACUAGGAAAAUGACCCAGCAUAAGACACAGCCAGAAAUAAAAAAAAACUGAAAAUCUUCAACUGUACAGGCUUUACUUAAUACUACAAGUUUAUUCCCAGCCAAAGCACUUAACCAGAGAUCUCAAUGGACUUGACCAUAGGUUUCUUUACCUCUUCCUUUGGAACAGUUACACUAAGCACUCUAUUCUCCAUAAAAGCCUUAACUUGAUCCAUCUUUGCAUUCUCCGGAAGUCUAAACCUUCUCAUGAAUUUCCAUUGCUUUGCUCCACACAAUGCCAAGUAUCGUUCUUAUCUUCUUUCUCUACCUUCCUCUCUCUGCUAAUUUGAAGAACCCUAUCCUCUUUGAUCUCCACUUUCACUUCCUCCUUCUUAAGCCCUGGAAGAUCAGCCUUGAACAAGUGAGCUUCUGGAGUUUCCUUCCAGUCUAUUCGAGUGUUAGCAAAUGCAGGGGUCUCCCCUGAAUUGGUACCUUAAUUAGCUUCAUUAGAUGAGUGUUUAGCACUUCCUCCAUACUUCUACUAUACACUGAGACAUUCUAGAGCCAAGUAGAUGUUCCAGAAGCAGAUGUCAAGAACUUUCUCGAUUAAUUCCGGUAGGCCCAUUACAGAUCACCACUGAGAUAUGGAAACUAGGCUUCUUUCAAUCGGCUCAAUUCAACCAGUCGUCUUAACUUUGUUCUUUACAACAGCCCACAAUCAUCUACUAGUUUUCUAGUUCACUUUUUUCUGCGGAUCCUAAGAUAAUAUGAAGUAUAAAGUCCAAACAAUUCAAGGAGAUUUCUGUUACCAAAAACCACACUCAUGAUUUCUUGCCAACGUUCAUAAGAUGAUACAUGAACUACAAAGUCCAAAUAGUAGCUAAACAGAAAGCCAUAUCCAAAUUUUGAAGUGGAAUACACAAUUCAAGGUCACGUAAAAACAGAAUUAGCCAUUUUCUCAAUCAAUUUUACAUGAAACAUUAACCAUUCUACUUAUUUAAUCCAAGAAAGAAACCCCCCCCAAAAGAAAUCACAAAACCCACCUGCAUUUUCCUUCCAUAAACAAAUUUUACGCAAGAAACCCCAUAACCAACAAACAAAGAAGUGAAUAAUCAAAGAUAAAAACCAGUACUCCAAUUAUUUUCCAUAAUAAAGAGAGAUCAAAAUCAGAGAAAGACUCACAAGUUUGGAGGAUGAGAAAUCGAGCAGAGACAAUUGUAUUCAGUUUUCCAAUCUGUGACCAAAAACAGAGAAAGCCAUUGCUUUUCUCUUCGCCUUCUCUUAGUUGUCGUCUCCAAGAAAACGAAGAAGAAAGUUACUAUAAUACAUAUGCGAUUUGAAUUGACCGUUAGGAGCGGACAACGGAACAGGGGGCUAAUUUGAAUUCUAGAGAGACUGAUUUUUUUCUUCC
rnacentral:lncRNA from 1 species